ensembl:lncRNA
AAGUGGUUGGAACCCAGAUUUGUGUUGUCAGCUCUGCCCCUUGCUGGCCGCUGCCACAGGCAGGUUACGUAACCUCUCUGUGCAUCAGUGUCCUUAUCUGUAUAUGAGGCUACAAACAGGACCUUCCUUAGAAGAAUGGUACAGGUUGAAAGGAGUACCUGUUUCGAAUCCCUAGUGCCUGGCAGAUAAACGGUGCUCCAUAACUAUUAGCUGUGCUUGGUUUUUAUCAUUAUCUCUUGGCCAUCUGCCCCUGGCUGGGAGCUGCUCCCCGACCUUGUGUCUCGUUACGGCUCUUUAUUAAUCAAGUGCUGAAUGAAUAAAAUGAAAAAGAGAGAAAGGAGAGGGAGGAGGGGAGGUUUGGCUAAAACAUGGUUUUGUGCACUCAAGAAACUUACUGGUUAUGUGGGGCAUAUAAGAUGCCCUAAUCGAUUAAACUGACUGUGAGAGGCAUCUGGGUGAACAAGGGGCACUUUGUAUAAGGGAUUUAGGUGGGAAUCCUAAAUCCUUUAAACACAUCGUUUAGGCAAAAUGACCAAACUCAUGCUUUAGCGCCAUAUGAGAUCCCUCAGAGGGAGGCGGAGCAGUGCCAGCUGCGUGCCUCUAAGAAAUAGUCACAAAAGUGAAACCUUCCUGCGGGACCCUUCGACUCCACCCCUGCUGAAUCUGAGCUUUCUCUGGAGUGACAUUUUGAACUGCUUAAGCGGGUGUGCAUCCUUCUGAGAGUACAGUCCUUGUCUGAUGAUUUGCUGAGCCAGUCUCUCCAGGGUGUCUGCAUUUCCUCCCGGGUCUCUGAAGUAGAAGGGGCUCCGGAAAAGGGAAAGAUGGAUGGCAGUGCCAGUGCCGUCUCCCAGGACCCCGGCGGCCUCCUAAAAUGUCUGAGAAUUGGGCUGGCCUUCCCCAAGGGAAGGCAGCGUCACUGAGAAUGUGACACAGCUGUGCCAUGCGGCGGCAAUCUUGUCCCGUGAGCUUCCUGAGUAACUGCUAGAAGCCAGAUUGCAGCAGGUGUUGUCAAGAUCGCUGUUUCCUUUAUUUGCAGCAGGCAUCCAUUAGCAUCACCAGGUAAAGCUACAUCUUAAUCCUAAAAGCUACGUCAUCAUCUCUGGAUCUUGGUUUGCCAUGCAGGUCCUGUUGUAGAGAACUUUGUAUCAUUUAGCUUCUGCUGCAUAACAAACACCCCAGACGAAGUGACUUCCAAGAAGAGUCAUCUCUUUGCUCAUCAUUCUGUGUCGGCACCCAGAAUGGGCUGGGUGCAGCAUGGCUGGAUCAGCUCCGUUCCUUGUGGUGCUGGCUGGGCUCUCUUGUGGCUGUGGACCUCCGCUGCGAGGGUGGGAACAGUGGGGGCCUCUCUCCCUGGGCUGUCACAUCCUGGAGGCUAUUCCGGGCUUAUUCACGUGGUGGCAGAAGGGUUCCCAGUCACCAGAGAAAACAUUGCCCCAGUUUGCAAGCACUUUUCCAGUCUCUGCUGGUGUCCUAUUUCCUGAUGUCCCAUUGGCCCCAGCAAGCCACUAUGCUCAGCUCAAAACAGUGGCAGGGCCCGUCUGCGGUGUAGAUACGGGAGGUGUGGUGGUCCGUAGACUCUUAGCGCAGCAGUCCACAUCAAGAUGUUUGUCUAGGGUCUUGCCAGAAAUGAAAGCAGCAGUGUUGUCGGCUUGCUUUGCCUUUCUCCUCCAGACGUCCUCCCGGGAUGGGUCUGCUCAGUGGAUUGGAUGCUCUGCUCACUGGUCCACGUGGGCCCGCGUAUGAGCUCUUCUCUCUAGGACUAGCCAUACCACAAAGGCACAAGUCAUCAGGCUCACAGAUUGAUGAGCACUGCUAGUCCCAGAGGAGUGUGUACCAGGAGAGUGUGGCUGGAUCAGCACAAAUCUCUGACGUUAAUGCUCAAAAAGAAACUCCAACCUGAUAGCACUUACAGUCCACACAGAUGGUUCUGACACAAUGACAUCUAAAGUCCACCCCCCAGUCUUCCCAGCCUGCCCUAAGCCUGGGCUCCGUCCUCGCUCAAUUCUUGGAUGUCCUUGAGGAAAUGCCAGCAGCUCUCCUCUGUGGCCGUCGCAGUGCUGUGACGACAGCAGAGCAGUAGAGGAGAGUCUGGGGACAUGGGAAGGAGGGGACUGCCUGGGACCCUGGACACCCAGACUCUUUAGCUGGGUUUAUUGCCUGGAGACUUGACCUCUAGGGUGAGUGGAGGGGCAGGCUGAUGGAUUGGAUGACGUCUGCUGUCAUCCCAGGUCUGAUCGUCUGAUUUGAAGGUUUAUACUCAUGUUAAAGAUUGUAUUCAGCAAAUAUUAUGGAACUACUGCCAAGAGACAGGAAUCAAGGGAAUGUUUUGAGCUCAGAUAGGUGUUUGGAUGUAGAAUCUGGAACAAGUUGGGGAAGGGAUCAGAAGGAUGGAUGGCCCUAGAAGGCGGCUGGGCCCUGGACAUCAAAGAUACUUGUUUGGUUGAGCCAGGGGACAGGGGAUGGGACCGAUCCAGUAUCACAGAUCUUCUCCCAAAGUGCAUUUGGGGAAGUAUUUCGAGGUGAUUUUUGUUGCAAGCAAGAAAGAAUAAUUAAACUUGAGCAAGAAUGAAGUUUUUGUUCUUUUAGGCUGAUAUUAUGACAGUGUUGCUGGUUGAGGAAAUUCAGCUCUUGCCGUCAGUGGAAGUCAGGAGCCCUCGCUAAUGGGUUCUGUGAAGUUUGUAAGUUGGCUAAUAUCAGUAUCAUUGAGUGUGAAAGUUGGUGUGUGUAUGUGCUCUUGUGUACACCUAGCCUGGUAUGGACACACAAGUGGAGCCCAUGCCAACCCAUCCAUCCCAGGCCUGCCUUCCCAGUUUUGGUCGAAGCUCUGGGAGCUGGGAACUGAGCUUAUCCUGGCCACCACCGUGUCUCCAAGGCUUUGCAUGUUGCCAGGCAUCUAUUAAGUGCUUAAGAAAUAUUGAAUAAACAAAACAAGAAAAACUGGAAGGGGAAUUUAUUUUUUUAAGCAUUGUUCCUUUUUUUUAAAACAGUGAUUUUUUUUUUUACAGAAUUAACCUGGACAUUUUAAUCAGUCACAGAACAAUGACUGUUGAUGGCUUUUAAGCUUUUUGUGGCGGUGAGAUAAGAAAUGAAAGGAAGCUGACAAAACACCUGACUGUGGUGAAAUCGCUACACUGUUUAAAACAGACACACACUAAAAACCCAGAAGCCCAAGUGCUUUGGAUCACCAGCCUCAUGUAGUGGUAGUCCAUCUUUUCCAAGUUUUUCUCUUUUCCAGAAUUAAAAUAGCUUUUUGCGUGUUUUCUGAUGACGAAGCUCGUACAUAACUUAUUAGCAUGGUCAAAUCAGAAAAGAGUAUAAAGAACAGUAGAAAUAGCCUUAUUUCCAUGUUAUUAACCUUU